UACGUAGGGGGCAAGCGUUGUCCGGAAUCAUUGGGCGUAAAGCGCGUGUAGGCGGCUGGGUAAGUCCGCUCUGAAAGCCCGGGGCUCAACCCCGGGAGGCGGGUGGAUACUGCUCAGCUCGAGUCCGGAAGAGGAGUGUGGAAUUCCUGGUGUAGCGGUGAAAUGCGUGGAGAUGCGGAGGAACACCAGAGGCGAAGGCGGCAUCCUGGACCAUUACUGACGCUGAGGCGCGAAAGCUAGGGGAGCAAACGGG
rnacentral:rRNA from 1 species